GACGAACGCUGGCGGCGUGCUUAACACAUGCAAGUCGAGCGGUAAGGCCCUUCGGGGUACACGAGCGGCGAACGGGUGAGUAACACGUGGGUGACCUGCCUCUAGCUCUGGGAUAAGCCUGGGAAACUGGGUCUAAUACCGGAUAUGACUCCACGGCGCAUGUUGUGGGGUGGAAAGCCUUGUGUGGCUAGAGAUGGGCCCGCGGCCUAUCAGCUUGUUGGUGGGGUGAUGGCCUACCAAGGCGACGACGGGUAGCCGGCCUGAGAGGGCGACCGGCCACACUGGGACUGAGACACGGCCCAGACUCCUACGGGAGGCAGCAGUGGGGAAUCUUGCGCAAUGGGCGAAAGCCUGACGCAGCGACGCCGCGUGCGGGAAGAA
rnacentral:rRNA from 1 species